rnacentral:rRNA from 1 species
CAGUCGCCGCGGUAAUACGUAGGUCCCGAGCGUUGUCCGGAUUUAUUGGGCGUAAAGGGCUCGCAGGCGGUUUCUUAAGUCUGAUGUGAAAGCCCCCGGCUCAACCGGGGAGGGUCAUUGGAAACUGGGAAACUUGAGUGCAGAAGAGGAGAGUGGAAUUCCACGUAUGGCGGUGAAAUGCGUAGAGAUGUGGAGGAACACCAGUGGCGAAGGCGACUCUCUGGUCUGUAACUGACGCUGAGGAGCGAAAGCGUGGGGAGCGAACAGGAUUAGAGACCCCUGUAGUCCCUGUCUCUUAUAC